rnacentral:rRNA from 1 species
GAUUAUGGCUCAGGAUGAACGCUGGCGGCGUGCUUAACACGUGCAAGUCGAACGAUUAACCCGCCUUCGGGCGGUCAUAGAGUGGCGAACGGGUGAGUAACACGUGACCAACCUGCCCCAUGCUCCGGGACAACCGCUGGAAACGGCGGCUAAUACCGGAUACUCCGCUCCCGGCGCAUGCCGGGCGCGGGAAAGCCCAAGCGGCAUGGGAUGGGGUCGCGGCCCAUCAGGUAGUAGGCGGGCGACGGCCCACCUAGCCGACGACGGGUAGCCGGGUUGAGAGACCGACCGGCCACAUUGGGACUGAGAUACGGCCCAGACUCCUACGGGAGGCAGCAGUGGGGAAUUUUGCGCAAUGGGGGGAACCCUGACGCAGCAACGCCGCGUGCGGGACGAAGGCCUUCGGGUUGUAAACCGCUUUCAGCAGGGAAGACAUCGACGGUACCUGCAGAAGAAGCCCCGGCUAAAUACGUGCCAGCCGCUGC